ACCAUCUUUUAUAUAUAGAUAGAUAAAUUCAGGGGCGGAUCCAGUGCAUGGUGAGGGUGUGCACCUGCACACCCUGAAAUUUGAAAAUUUCCACCGGUACCCCUCUUCUUUUCUAAUUUUGACCACCCUGAAUAUUUUAUUUUGCACCUUGACCCCUUGACACCCAAAGUCUGAAACUCCACUCUCACAAUACAAUUUCACACUUCUCUCUAAACUAAUAUUCUCUCAUAUCAUGUCAAAACUAUUCACACAAACCACCGAAAAUUUGAUCUGAAGAUUCUGAACCGGCGGCGGCGACCACUCCAGCCACCACCACUGUCCAUGACCGCGCGAGAUCUCCUCUCAGUCUCCUAUCUCUGCGAUUUUUCAGUGCGAUUUCUCCAUUUUUCUCUGCGAUUUUGUUGUGCGAAUUUCUCAGAUUUCUGUGCGAUUUCUCUCCCUAUUCAUCACCACAAUCCUUCCUCACGAAGAUUCAGACAACAUUAGCAAGGAUUUAGUUAAGCAUAAUGGGUUUACUGUGGUGGCGGAAGGGACAGAAUUCUCAACCGGAAACGGAGAACACGAAGAAUGGUGGUGUGGCGGCGGCGGGGAUGAACGGUGCGGUGGAAGUUCCUCGACCUCAAAACGCGAGUAUAUCCAUUUUCGAGUUUGGUUCGGUUGCUGCUUCUACUGAUAAGGUUACACUUGCUGGUUAUUGUUCCGUUUCUGAAGAUCUUGAGCCUUGUCGUUGGGAGAUUCUUCCUGCAAUUGGAUCCAACGCUCCACAGUUUCGCGUUGUUUUCUAAUUAUAUGUUAUAUGUACUCUUGUUUAUUUCGAUGAUGUGUUACUUUGUAUUGACAUAAGUUAUGAAUUAUGAACGAAUUGGGUUAUCUCUUUCCAUUUAUUUAUUCUAAGUUGUGAUGUGUUCCAAUGA